rnacentral:rRNA from 1 species
AGCUCCAAUAGCGUAUAUUAUUGAUGUUGCAGUUAAAACGUUCGUAGUCGAACUUUAUCUGCGUACGUGCUGAUGCGUCAAUGACGUGUUAGUGCCAUAAGCAGAGACGAUGCAAGAGUCCAGUAUGUUUCAUGCUGUUCUGUUUGCAUUUUACUUUGAGUGAAUCGGCGUGUUCCACGCAGGCUAUCGCCUUGAACGAUUUACCAUAGCAUAAAUAGAGUAUGAAGGUACCCUUUUGCUUGUUCGGGGGUAUUUACGAUACUGAAAGGAACGGUUGAGGGCAUUCGUAUUCAACUGCUAGAGGUGAAAUUCUUUGAUUAGUUGAGGACGAACCAUUGCGAAAGCAUCUGCCAAGGACGUUUCCU